rnacentral:rRNA from 1 species
UACAGAGGUCUCAAGCGUUGUUCGGAUUCAUUGGGCGUAAAGGGUGUGUAGGUGGCGCCGUAAGUCGGGUGUGAAAUUUCGAGGCUCAACCUCGAGCCUGCAUUCGAUACUGGGCGGCUAGAGUCUGGUAGGGGGAUCUGGAAUUCCUGGUGUAGCGGUGGAAUGCGCAGAUAUCAGGAGGAACACCGGUGGCGAAGGCGGGAUCCUGGGCCAGUACUGACGCUGAGGAGCGAAAGCGUGGGUAGCAAACAGG